UACGUAGGGUGCAAGCGUUGUCCGGAAUUAUUGGGCGUAAAGAGCUCGUAGGCGGUCUGUCACGUCGGCUGUGAAAACCCGAGGCUCAACCUCGGGCCUGCAGUCGAUACGGGCAGACUAGAGUUCGGUAGGGGAGACUGGAAUUCCUGGUGUAGCGGUGAAAUGCGCAGAUAUCAGGAGGAACACCGGUGGCGAAGGCAGCUCGCUGGGACGGUACUGACGCUGAGGCGCGAAAGCGUGGGGAGCGAACAGG
rnacentral:rRNA from 1 species